GUGUAUAUAUAAUGAGAAAAUGAACAAAAAUAUUAACAUCUCAUAUGAUGUAGAGAGACGUUGCAACAAGGAGUGAUGUGAAUAACAAGCUCAGGUUGCAAAUCGAGGCAAAGCGACAACAAAUACGACAAAGACGAGGUAUGCAUGUUUCUAUAAAGUUUUGUAUGUCUAAAGUAAUAUAUUUAUGUUUUUACUUCACGUGGUAUUAAAUUGAAUAUAUAAAAGGUUAAAUUGUUAUGAUAGUUAUAUGAGUAGUAUCAUGAAUCAUCAUAUAACUAUCAACUGCAAAAUGGGGAGGGAAAAUUUUCAUAGGAUAGUCUUAAAGGAACAGUUUCACAUGUGAACAAAAUAGCACCAAUAAUGAAUAUUUAUAUUUUCAUUGUAGCGAAAACGUGUGAUAACAUAUCUCUAUUUGUUUGAAAGCUUCUUUAAGUACAGAAAACUUAUGACUUAAACUUAACUUUCAAAUAGUUCUCUUCUUGGUUUCAAAAUUUAGAAGAGUAAAAAAUGUACACAAUUACAGUGUAAGAGUUUUAUACACUACCGUUAUCUAUCAUUCAUUUUAUCAUCAUUAACUUUAAAAAAAGAAGUAAUACAAAUGAUUUGUAGAUAAUAUAUUGACAGUGUACCAUCUUUAAAAUUUAGUACAUGAUCAUGGAUACACUUUUGUGCUUGCAGCUGCUUAUGAGGCAUCAAGGAAAGAAGUGGAAUAUGAAAGGAUGAACACUAAUCAGUUUACUGAUUAUAUGAGUAAUGAUCAUUCUUGCUAUAAUAUUGGGUCUGGAUCUUCUUCUGGGUACUCCAUGCAAGAUGGGUAUAAUCCCAUUCCUCCACCACAACAUCAAGAUCCAAUGCAACCACCAUUUUCUAUGCCUCCAAAUCCUCAGUCUAUUCCUUUUGGUCAACCUUUCGAUGAGCAUUUCUUUUCCAAGAGCAGCCUUAUCUAAGUUGUUCAUAGAAGUGUGGAGAGAUUGUGCUUUGAAAUAAAUUGUUAUGUUAUGUUUGUUGUGUUACUUGAGUAUGUGGGAUUGAGGGAUCAACUUGGUCAUUGAAGAAGUUAUCCACAUAACUUUGAUAGAGACCCCAAUUUUUAUUAUGUUUUGCUUAUGAAGUGGAUUUGUGAUAUUAUUAUCAUGGAUUUGAUUUGAGUGUGUGAAUUUAAGUUGUUUGACUCAAUGUUUAAUUGAUCUCGUGUAUGUUGACUGAUUUUACACCACCCUUGUCUCUCUCCAUUAUUUGUUACAUGUUGCUCAAUCUUGAAUUGAUUCAAGAUGAGUAGGCAUGUUGAUUAGAUAAGGGUGUCUUUGAAGUGUGGUUAUGGUAGUAUAAAAUCUUUCUGAGUAUACUUUCGAGUUAGAUUUUAGAGGGGGG
rnacentral:lncRNA from 1 species